AACGAACGCUGGCGGCAUGCCUAACACAUGCAAGUCGAACGAGACCUUCGGGUCUAGUGGCGCACGGGUGCGUAACGCGUGGGAAUCUGCCCUUGGGUUCGGAAUAACUCGCCGAAGGGCGUGCUAAUACCGGAUGAUGUCGGAAGACCAAAGAUUUAUCGCCCAGGGAUGAGCCCGCGUAAGAUUAGGUAGUUGGUGAGGUAAAGGCUCACCGAGCCGACGAUCUUUAGCUGGUCUGAGAGGAUGAUCAGCCACGCUGGGACUGAGACACGGCCCAG
rnacentral:rRNA from 1 species